UAGGGAAUCUUCCACAAUGGACGAAAGUCUGAUGGAGCAACGCCGCGUGAGUGAAGAGGGGUUUCGGCUCGUAAAACUCUGUUGUUAAAGAAGAACAUAUCUGAGAGUAACUGUCCAGGUAUUGACGGUAUUUAACCAGAAAGCCACGGCUAACUACGCGCCAG
rnacentral:rRNA from 1 species